rnacentral:rRNA from 1 species
UACGUAGGGUGCGAGCGUUACUCGGAAUUACUGGGCGUAAAGCGUGCGCAGGCGGUUGUGCAAGACAGAGGUGAAAUCCCCGGGCUUAACCUGGGAAUGGCCUUUGUGACUGCACGGCUAGAGUGUGUCAGAGGGGGGUAGAAUUCCACGUGUAGCAGUGAAAUGCGUAGAGAUGUGGAGGAAUACCGAUGGCGAAGGCAGCCCCCUGGGAUAACACUGACGCUCAUGCACGAAAGCGUGGGGAGCGAACAGG